rnacentral:rRNA from 1 species
CUUAACACAUGCAAGUCGAGCGGUAAGGCCCUUCGGGGUACACGAGCGGCGAACGGGUGAGUAACACGUGGGUGAUCUGCCUCGCACUCUGGGAUAAGCCUGGGAAACUGGGUCUAAUACCGGAUAUGACCUUACAUCGCAUGGUGUUUGGUGGAAAGAUUUAUCGGUGCGAGAUGGGCCCGCGGCCUAUCAGCUUGUUGGUGGGGUAAUGGCCUACCAAGGCGACGACGGGUAGCCGGCCUGAGAGGGCGACCGGCCACACUGGGACUGAGACACGGCCCAGACUCCUACGGGAGGCAGCAGUGGGGAAUAUUGCACAAUGGGCGAAAGCCUGAUGCAGCGACGCCGCGUGAGGGAUGACGGCCUUCGGGUUGUAAACCUCUUUCGACAGGGACGAAGCGCAAGUGACGGUACCUGUAGAAGAAGCACCGGCCAACUACGUGCCAGCAGCCGCGGUAAUACGUAGGGUGCGAGCGUUGUCCGGAAUUACUGGGCGUAAAGAGCUUGUAGGCGGCUUGUCGCGUCGAUCGUGAAAACUUGGGGCUCAACCCCAAGCUUGCGGUCGAUACGGGCAGGCUUGAGUACUUCAGGGGAGACUGGAAUUCCUGGUGUAGCGGUGAAAUGCGCAGAUAUCAGGAGGAACACCGGUGGCGAAGGCGGGUCUCUGGGAAGUAACUGACGCUGAGAAGCGAAAGCGUGGGUAGCGAACAGGAUUAGAUACCCUGGUAGUCCACGCCGUAAACGGUGGGUACUAGGUGUGGGUUUCCUUCCACGGGAUCCGUGCCGUAGCUAACGCAUUAAGUACCCCGCCUGGGGAGUACGGCCGCAAGGCUAAA